AAAGUACUCCCUCCGUCCCAAAAUUCUUGUCUUAGAUUUGUCUAGAUACGGAUGUAUCAAGUCACAGUUUAGUAUUAGAUACAUCUGUAUGUAGACAAAUCUAAGACAAGAAAUUUGGGACAGAGGGAGUAGUUG
rfam:Triticum aestivum genome assembly, contig: Triticum_aestivum_CS42_TGACv1_scaffold_605262_7DL